rnacentral:rRNA from 1 species
CAAUAGCGUAUAUUAAAGUUGUUGCGGUAAAAAAGCUCGUAGUUGGAUUUCUACCGAAGAUAGCCGGUCGGGUCUUCGACCUUGUAUCUGGUUUUGUCUUUGGUAUCCUCAUAGGGAACGUUUCUGCGCUUUAUUGCGUGGUGCGGUAUCUAUGACUUUUACUUUGAGGAAAUUAGAGUGUUCACGGCAGGCAAACGCCUUGAAUAUAUUAGCAUGGAAUAAUAACAUAGGAUCUUCGUCCUAUUUUGUUGGUUUCUAGGGCUAAGAUAAUGAUUAAUAGGGGUAAUUGGGGGCAUCUGUAUCAACGCGUCAGAGGUGGAAUUCUUGGAUUGCGUUGCGACAAACUACUGCGAAAGCAUUUGCCAAGGAUGUUUUCAUUGA